UGCCUGGGAAGUGAAGUUCCGUAUGCUGAUUGGCUUAUGCUCUCCGCGUCCCUGCGCGUGGACUCCUGGGAUAUGUAGUUUUCCCCUCUAGGAACAGGGAACUGCUGUGUGUUCAUUGGCUGCUUGGGAAGGCGGAAGCGACAAGUGAGGGACUCCAUGACUCAAAGCCGACUGAUACUUUCUCAGUACUUUAUUCUGACUGUGUGUCAACCAGAGGACGUUCUGUGGUGGUCUAUUUGUCCCAUCCUCCCUAGAAUACACCUGGAUCAGAGGAAGUAUUCCCACAAGCAUAUCAGAAACCACAUUACUCAUUAAACAGAAUUCACCGUUUUGUUUUUCUUUGUCUUUCCAUUCAAGAUGUCAUCUGUUAUAGACUGGCAGAUAGUAAAUGAUGUGCUGAAUAUCACCAGCCAGUGAGCAAAAAGCGGAAGACUGACUCACCCAAGAAUCCUUUGUGGGGACAUUGAAGAUUGAAAACAAAAACAAAAAACAAAACACCGCAGAUAAAAAAGAUGAUUGGCAAUCUCAGUGUGGAAGGUGUGGCUACCCUAAGGCUGAAGAUUACAGAAGACACCCCUCUACCCCUGAGGCUACAAAGGAGGAAAAGAGACGCUGGGCCUGACAACUAUGGCUCCUGCCUGUGUCAUCCUCUCUUCUCUGGA